UACGUAGGGUCCGAGCGUUGUCCGGAAUUACUGGGCGUAAAGAGCUCGUAGGUGGUUUGUCGCGUUGUCCGUGAAAACUCACAGCUCAACUGUGGGCGUGCGGGCGAUACGGGCAGACUGGAGUACUGCAGGGGAGACUGGAAUUCCUGGUGUAGCGGUGGAAUGCGCAGAUAUCAGGAGGAACACCGGUGGCGAAGGCGCUCAUCUGGCCCAAUACUGACGCUGAGGCGCGAAAGCUAGGGGAGCAAACGGG
rnacentral:rRNA from 1 species